AGUGAACGCUGGCGGUAGGCCUAACACAUGCAAGUCGAACGGCAGCACAGUAAGAGCUUGCUCUUACGGGUGGCGAGUGGCGGACGGGUGAGGAAUACAUCGGAAUCUACUUUUUCGUGGGGGAUAACGUAGGGAAACUUACGCUAAUACCGCAUACGACCUACGGGUGAAAGCAGGGGAUCUUCGGACCUUGCGCGAUUGAAUGAGCCGAUGUCGGAUUAGCUAGUUGGCGGGGUAAAGGCCCACCAAGGCGACGAUCCGUAGCUGGUCUGAGAGGAUGAUCAGCCACACUGGAGCUGAGACACGGUCCAGACUCCUACGGGAGGCAGCAGUGGGGAAUAGUGGACAAUGGGGGCAAGCCUGAUCCAGCCAUACCGCGUGGGUGAAGAAGGCCUUCGGGUUGUAAAGCCCUUUUGUUGGGAAAGAAAAGCAGCAGGUUAAUACCCCGCUGUUCUGACGGUACCCAAAGAAUAAGCACCGGCUAACUUCGUG
rnacentral:rRNA from 1 species